CCAAGAAUCUUCCGCAAUGGGGGAAACCCUGACGGAGCGACGCCGCGUGAGGGAAGAAGGUCUUCGGAUUGUAAACCUCUUUUGUAAGGGAAGAAUAAGGUUUGUAGGAAAUGACAGACUGAUGACGGUACUUUAUGAAUAAGCCCCGGCUAAUUACGUGCCAGCAGCCGCGGUAAUACGUAAGGGGCUAGCGUUGCUCGGAAUUACUGGGCGUAAAGGGCGUGUAGGCGGGCACACAAGUCGAUUGUAAAAGACCGCAGCUUAACUGCGGGCAUGCGAUCGAAACUGUGUGUCUUGAGUCUGGUGGAGGGUAAUGGAAUUCCCGGUGUAGCGGUGAAAUGCGUAGAUAUCGGGAAGAACACCGAAGGCUAAAGCAGUUAUCUAUGCCAAGACUGACGCUGAGGCGCGAAAGCAUGGGGAUCAAACAGGAUUAGAUACCCCCGUAGUCC
rnacentral:rRNA from 1 species